GACGAACGCUGGCGGCGUGCCUAAUACAUGCAAGUAGGACGCAGUUGCGAACGGGUGAGUAACGCGUAGGUAAAUACGUAGUAGAGGGGGAUAACUAUUGGAAACGAUAGCGACUAACGCAUACUAGUAGAUGGACCUGGGUGGGAUUAGAUAUUAGGUAGGAUAAUGGCCUAAAUAGGCAACGAUAAAUAGCCGACUUGAGAGGGUGAUCGGCCAAACUGGGACGUAGACACGGCCCAGACUCCUACGGGAGGCAGCAGUAGGGAAUCUUCGGCAAUGGGGGGAACCCUGACCGAGCAACGCCGCGUGAGUGAAGAAGGUUUUCGGAUCGUAAAGCUCUGUUGUUAAGGAAGCGUUACUUAACCAGAAAGGGACGGCUAACUACGUGCCAGCAGCCGCGGUAAUUC
rnacentral:rRNA from 1 species